CGCAGCCGCUCGGCCCCGCGUGACGCGGCGCGCGGGGGAGGUCGCGCGAGAUCGCGCGUGGAGACGGUGGGGGGGAGGGGGCGGGGACUGGGAAAAGGGGCGGGGCUGGACUGGACAGGGCAGGACUGGGCAGGGCCGGGGGAACAGACAGGGCAGGACUGGACAGGGCCGGACGGGACUGGACAGGGCAGGACUGGGCAGGGCCGGGGGAACAGACAGGACAGGACUGGACAGGGCCGGACGGGACUGGACAGGACAGGGCCGGGGGAACAGACAGGACAGGACUGGACAGGGCCGGACGGGACUGGACAGGGCAGGACUGGGCAGGGCCGGGGGAACAGACAGGACAGGACUGGACAGGGCCGGACGGGACUGGACAGGACAGGGCCGGGGGAACAGACAGGACAGGACUGGACAGGGCAGGACUGGACAGAGCCGGACGGGACUGGACAGGACAGGGCCGGGGGAACAGACAGGACAGGACUGGACAGGGCCGGACGGGACUGGACAGGACAGGGCCGGGGGAACAGACAGGACAGGACUGGACAGGGCCGGACAGGACUGGACAGGACAGGACAGGGCAGGGCCGGACAGGACAGGACAGGGCCGGACCGGACCGGACCGCACCGGGCCGGACAGGACAGGGCCGGACAGGACAGGACAGGACAGGGCCGGGGGAACGGACAGGACAGGACAGGGCCGGACCGGACCGGACAGGACAGGACUGGGGGAACGGACAGGGCAGGACAGGACAGGACAGGACAGGGCCGGACAGGACAGGGCCGGACAGGACAGGGCCGGACAGGACAGGACAGGACAGGGCCGGGGGAACGGACAGGACAGGACAGGGCCGGACCGGACCGGACAGGACAGGACUGGGGGAACGGACAGGGCAGGACAGGACAGGGCAGGACAGGACAGGACAGGACCGGACAGGACAGGACCGGACAGGACAGGGCCGGACAGGACAGGGCCGGACAGGACAGGACAGGACAGGGCCGGACAGGACCGGACAGGACAGGACAGGGCCGGACAGGACAGGACCGGACAGGACAGGGCCGGGCCGGACAGGGCCGGACAGGACAGGACAGGGCCAGGGGAACGGACAGGACAGGACAGGGCCGGACAGGACCGGACAGGACAGGACCGGACAGGACAGGACAGGGCCGGACAGGACAGGGCCGGACAGGACAGGACCGGACAGGACAGGGCCGGACAGGACAGGACAGGGCCGGACAGGACCGGACAGGACAGGACAGGGCCGGACAGGACAGGACCGGACAGGACAGGGCCGGGCCGGACAGGGCCGGACAGGACAGGACAGGGCCGGGGGAACGGACAGGACAGGACAGGGCCGGACAGGACAGGACAGGGCCGGGGGAACGGACAGGACAGGGCAGGACUGGGCAGGGCCGGACAGGACAGGACAGGGCCGGGGAACGGACAGGACAGGACUGGGGGAACGGACAGGGCAGGACAGGACAGGACAGGGCCGGAAGGAGGCUGAGCUGGGUCGAGGAAAGAGCUGAGGGGAGGUUGAAGGGGGUGGUGGCAGGGCUGAACCAGGACAAGGUGAACAGGAGAUCCAUGGCUGGCCUAUGUUAG
rnacentral:lncRNA from 1 species